AAGAAAGAAAGAAAAUGAGAGGAAGGAAGAGUUGUCUUCCAAGAAGAAGAAAGAGAGAAAAUGAAAGAAUGGAGAAGAAAUGAAGAUCAACCAAGGUGGGAGAAAAUGGUGUAGGAAGCUCUCUUGAAAUAAAGAUAGGGAGGUUCAAGAAUAAUGUUGUUCUUAUGUCAAAAGAGAGAAGAAAAAGUAGCAAGCUUGUGGGUGGAAGCUCAUGGUGUUUAUUUAUUUUGUUAUAAAUGUAUGGCUUAUGGAAGCUUAUGUUAUUGUGUUUGAUUCAUGAGAUGUAAAUUUUAUGGGGUUGGUAAUGGCUUGUUGAAGCCUAAGACUAUGAGUGUGUAUUCCUUUGAAGUGUUGAUUUUUUUUAAGUGAAUGAGAUUGAGGCUUAUGGCAUG